UCAAAAGAGGACCCCAAAACAUCUAAAAUAGAGCUUAUGUUGAAAAUGUCAGACUUCCCCAUUAAAAAUACAAUCUGCACUGUUGACUCAGUGACUCUCUGAUACCAUAAGACAGGACUCUCGCUCCAACAGCCGAGGUCCAAGUCUUUGUGUGAACUUUUUGCAUGUUCAUGUCCCCCUGUAACUUUGAAAGUCAGCCAUUUUAACAUCAGUGUUAGGCUUAGGUUAAGAUCAUCUUUGAUAAUCAGAUGCUGUGUGGAAAUGUUCUUCGACAGCCUCUUGUUUGAUCCCUAUGUACCACCUCAAAAUAGAUGCCCGCUUGGUUCACUUUGCUUUGGCCUCUUUUGUGCAUGUUAGGUAUUUAGUUGAUGCCCUCUUGAUCUGUACAACUCAAAGAGCCUUGUGCGUAUCCUUGGCGUGAGGGCUGUAGACGUGAAUGUGCCAGGUUACCAUAGGAAAACUGAGGGAAGGACCACUUUUAAUCAAAUUGCAAGAUGUUCUCCAAAUAUUCCCCAAGCCAGCUUGGAAAUGUGGAGGCGUCCUUUUAAAGAGAAUUAGUGUUUAGAUAGUAUGUGGUCUGUGACUGAGUUAUUAGCAUGACAGGGGGAUCCAGGUCUGACCUUUGACACAUACCAAAGGUGAGCUUUUAGGUAACACUAUGUGUGAGAGGGAGAGGGGCAAAAAAAAACGGCAACAACAAGAAAACCCCCAAACCUUUAUUCUUGUCAGUGUAUUAAUGCUUUGAACUUUUUUGCACACAGUCUUUGUUUAUGGGGUAUGCAAUGUUUCUUUUGCGAACGUUCUAGUGGCCUUGGAGCAUGCACACAGAGAUCAGUACUGGACCUACUGUGGGGAUAGUUAUUCCUCUGUACUAUUGGUGCUAAGGCAUGGUGUAAGAAUUUCUGAUCAGUUUCAUCCAAAGUAUCUAUAGAUGUUAAAGCCCACUUGAACUUGAGUUUGAAACAGAAAAAUGCAAGCGAUGGGCCCCUGUUUUUGUAUCUUUCAGAAACUGGAGAUGCCUCAUUUAUUGUAACUUCUGACACAUUCAGGGCUGAGGUUUUUAAUUACCAAGUGCAUCUACAUCUACAGGAAAAAGGGUUACUUUUCAGCACAUUAUGAAUUUUAGCUCAGUUUGUAAAUAAUGUGGUAUUUAACGCGUACAGUGAAUGAAUAAAGGUAAUUAUGUGGAAGGUGUUGUGCAUUCUUUAAAAAAUAUCUGAAAAGUUAAAAGCAGUGCAGUUGUCUUGUGUCUACUUUUGUCUUGGGGACAAAUUUGUGACAGUUCUGCCAUACCUUGCGGAAAGUCAUGUUCUAUAGAGACAUAUAAAAAUAUAAUACAUAUAUAAAAUGUUUACUGUAUGGAUAUGCAUUGAAUGUUUGCACAGAAUUUUGAGAAGCGAGUUUCUCUGAACAACAUGAAUGUUGAGUUUAUGUCCUUGGAAAAAAGAGGAAGAAGUGUCAAAAAACAAAUCUUUGUGUCAAAUUAACGUGUGAAAUGCAAGUUUUUCAAACAGUGACUGUGACGGGAGAGUACUUUUUGUUUUUAAAUAAACGUUAUAUAUUUUCACCGUAUGGUGUUAUAAAUGUAUUGUUCUGAGAUUCUAGUGCUUGUUUUCUGACCUUUAUGUCAGCGGUUUUGUUUUAAUGGGAAGCUGUACCUGAAGGAUAAAAAUAGGUGUCCAACUAGGUCUCCUUUUGCUAACUAAAAAUGAAGCUGCCAAACAAACAUUUAUUCACUUCAGAUUUUAAAAGUAGCACUGAUGUACAAGGAGGAAUUUGGAUGCUUGUUUUUGUCACUCAGAGUGGAGGAGUAAAUCUUCACCUUUAAUCCCUCAUUGCAAACCAGUAUCCAAAAAAAUAGCUUUUUCAAACAGUUUGGUUCCUUUAUGUUGGCCUGUGUGUCGCCACCUUUGCCUUAAUGUGUCAUGUUUUCAUUGACUUUUCAUUGAGGAACACAGAGCUGAUGAAGGGGCUUUUGUCAAGUUCAUGAUUUUUAUUUAAAAAAAAAAAAAAAUUGUGCAUUUGUAAAAUAAAUACUGCCUUCUGUCUGUGUCAAGAAUCAAACAGUGUAAAAAAAAAAAAAAAGAAGUAAAACAGAUGUUUGAGUUAUUUGGAUUUUGUAUGUAUGUAAAUAAAUAAAUUAUAAGCCU